AGUUGUAACAAGGUUUCCCGUAGGUGAACCUGCGGAAGGAUCAUU
rnacentral:rRNA from 1 species